CACUCCUACGGGAGGCAGCAGUGGGGAAUUUUGGACAAUGGGGGCAACCCUGAUCCAGCAAUGCCGCGUGAGUGAAGAAGGCCUUCGGGUUGUAAAGCUCUUUUGUCAGGGAAGAAACGGUGGUGGCGAAUAACUACUACUAAUGACGGUACCUGAAGAAUAAGCACCGGCUAACUACGUGCCAGCAGCCGCGGUAAUACGUAGGGUGCAAGCGUUAAUCGGAAUUACUGGGCGUAAAGCGUGCGCAGGCGGUUGUGUAAGUCAGAUGUGAAAUCCCCGGGCUCAACCUGGGAAUUGCAUUUGAGACUGCACGGCUAGAGUGUGUCAGAGGGGGGUAGAAUUCCACGUGUAGCAGUGAAAUGCGUAGAUAUGUGGAGGAAUACCGAUGGCGAAGGCAGCCCCCUGGGAUAACACUGACGCUCAUGCACGAAAGCGUGGGGAGCAAACAGGAUUAGAUACCCCUGUAGUCCC
rnacentral:rRNA from 1 species